UACAGAGGGUGCUAGCGUUGUUCGGAAUCAUUGGGCGUAAAGGGCGUGUAGGCGGUUUGUUAAGUCAUGUGUGAAAUCCCUCGGCUCAACCGGGGAACGACGCAUGAAACUGGCAAGCUAGAGUACCAAAGAGGGGGGUGGAAUUCCCGGUGUAGCGGUGAAAUGCGUAGAUAUCAGGAGGAAUACCGGUGGCGAAGGCGGCCUUCUGGACGGUGACUGACGCUGAGACGCGAAAGCGUGGGGAGCAAACAGG
rnacentral:rRNA from 1 species